rnacentral:rRNA from 1 species
ACGAACGCUGGCGGCAGGCCUAACACAUGCAAGUCGAGCGCCCAGCAAUGGGAGCGGCAGACGGGUGAGUAACGCGUGGGAACCUUCCCAAUGGUACGGAAUAGCACAGGGAAACUUGAGGUAAUACCGAAUAAGCCCGAAAGGGGAAAGAUUUAUCGCCAUUGGAUGGGCCCGCGUAGGAUUAGCUAGUUGGUGAGGUAAUGGCUCACCAAGGCGACGAUCCUUAGGCUGGUUUGAGAGAAUGACCAGCCGACACUGGGACUGAGACACGGCCCAGGACUCCUACGGGAGGCACGCAGUGGGGGAAUCUUGGACAAUGGGCGCAAGGCCUGAUCCAGCCAUGCCGCGUGAGUGACGAAGGUCUUCGGAUUGUAAAGCUCUUUUGCCAGGGACGAUAAUGACGGUACCUGGAGAAUAAGCCCCGG